CCAAGGCAGCCAGUCCUAUGGCCAGGGCUACAGACCUCAAGGUGGCAGCUCCUAUGGCCUGGGUGGGCCAAGUUUCUCGGGCAGCAGCA